rnacentral:lncRNA from 1 species
GAAAGACAUUUCCAUAUUUUGUAAUUGACAUUUUCUGUGCCAUUUUCUUCUUUCUAGGGGUCAGAUGGUGACUCCUAGCCUAUCCCCUCCUACCUACCCCAGUGACUCUGUGGCAUCAGGUGAUCUCUCCUGGUUCCUCACCCCAUGUUCUCCACUGAUCAGACCCAUUGGUGAUUAGAUGCUCAGCAGAAGUGAUUUUGCAGCCUUUGACACCUUGCAUCCCCUGCUGCCUGGAUUUCAAAGAGAGCUUGAAGUAUCUUGAUUCUUCUGCGAGGGAAAAAAGGACACAUGCACUGAAACCAUAAUGAUUUUACCAGACGUUCACAGUACUUUCACCUGAAAUGGUAUCAGAUAGUGCCUCUGUAUCACAUCUCUAAUACCUUUUGAAAUGAAAUCUUCGGCUCCUAUUCAGAGAUCCCCCUUUUGUUCACUCAAAGCCAAGGGGACAGUCAGUGAGCUGGGGAGGUGGUUCAGGUCAGUACUGUCCCUUUUAACUCCUUGUGCACCACAGCAGCGAGCGUGGGGCGCCUCUGCCGGACAGGGAUUCCCAAAGGACCUGGGUGCAGACAGUGAGGCUGUUCCCAGUGCUAGCUGUGAACAACUGAACACAGAGAGAUAGAAAAACAACUUCUGGAUUACCUCAAGUGCGCUGGCAACAUAAGUAGCAACAGACUUCCAGAUGAAGAAGCCUAUGUGGAACAUGUAAAAUGGUAAGCAAAACUUGUGUGCUGAGUCUUAUGAAAAGUGUAAGAAAAGGAAAUUCUGCAGCUUGGGUUCCAACAUUCAUGUUUACUUUUAAAUCUAAAUGUGACCAGAC